rnacentral:rRNA from 3 species
GGACUACUGGGGUUUCUAAUCCCGUUUGCUCCCCUGGCUUUCGCGCCUCAGCGUCAGAAAAGGUCCAGCGUGCCGCCUUCGCCACCGGAGUUCCUAUUGAUAUCAACGCAUUUCACCGCUCCACCAAUAGUUCCGCACGCCCCUACCUCCCUCGAGACACCCAGUAUCCAUGGCAGUUCGACAGUUAAGCUGCCGGAUUUCACCACAGACUUUGAUGCCCGCCUACGCGCCCUUUAAGCCCAGUGAUUCCGAAUAACGUUUGCUCGGUUCGUCUUACCGCGGCUGCUGGCAC